rnacentral:misc_RNA from 1 species
UCUUCUCCUUCUUCUUCUUCUUCUAAAGCCCGGAUUUUUAGCCAAAAAGAGAUUGACCCAGAUCAGCUUUGCAGCCAAGUAAGCUAACCGAUUAAGGAGUUUCAAUUCUUUUGAGUAUUUGUUUUUGAUUGGUUUGGGGAUGACCGAGUUUAGGAUUUGAGUUGACUUGUGUGUCCUAGAGGGUAUCCAACUGGUGAAUUGUUGGCGUUUUUUGUUUGAAUUGAUUUGGAGUAGACCCAUUUCUGGACUAUACGAGGUUUUGUGAUUUUUUGGCGACUCGUUGGAGUUUAGAAUUUCUACUCUGCCUGUGGGUAAAUGUGCUACUUUGUGUGCUUUUCUUUCUUCUUUUCCUCUCUUUCUUAGGCAUGAUUGGUUACAAGAAUAUGUUUCUGUCUCUGGAUAGACUCAACAGGUCAUGUUUGGUUUGCAGGGAAAUCCCAAUUUACAGCUAAAUCUUUUAUGGCGUUUCCCUUUUGCCUCAUAGUUUCCAAUUCCAUACUUCUUUGGCUUAUAUGUAUUUAGGGAUUGAAAGACCACUUCUCCUAAUUCUGUUUCUGUUUUUAAUUUAGCAGGGGUAAACGAUUCAGAAUUUUGGUUAAAUCUUUGUCUUCGUGAGGAGCAGGUUUAGGUGGCUAUCGAAUUCAGAUAGAAAAUUUCACUGAGAUUUGUGGAUAGUUUAGGUCGGAAGUUGGUGAUUCUCUAAAGAUGGCUGGGGUGCAAGAUCAGUUAGAGAUCAAGUUUCGAUUGACUGAUGGAUCUGAUAUUGGUCCCAAAACCUUUCCUGCUGCCACAAGUGUUGCAACCUUGAAGGAGAGUAUUCUCUCUCAAUGGCCUAAAGAGAAGGAGAAUAGUCCAAGGACAGUGAAAGAUCUCAAGUUAAUAAGUGCGGGAAAAAUACUGGAGAACAACAUAACUGUGGGGGAAUGCCGGAGCCCCCUGUGUGAUAUCCCUGGUGGCGUUACAACCAUGCAUGUAGUUGUUCAACCAUCUUCCUUGGAUAAAGAAAAGAAAUCAAUCAGCCAAUCAAAGCAGAACAAAUGUGUUUGUGUUAUAUUAUAACUACAGCUCCCUGAGCAAGGAUGACAUCAAGGUAAAGAGUUUGGAGCUGGUUUAGAUAACAAAGCUGGUGAAUUGCUUAUUGGUGAUAGGCAAUGGCAUUUUGCACACUUAUCAUAGGUCAUCUUUUUGUACCAUUCUUUGCCUUCAUCAUAUAGCCGUGUUUCAAUCCAUUUGGUAUACUGUGAUUAAUGUUAAGUUUGAAUUUGCCUCAGCUUGUAUGCAACUAGAUCUCAGAUUUAUAUGUUGAAAGUUACCGAUAGAUGAAUAUUUUCAUAUUUUUCAUUUCAAAUUCAUGUCAUGUUGUCUUGUAUCAUUCAUAGUUGCACAAUUCAACUGUACUUCAACUAAUGUCCAUGGUCAUUAUUUUACCAAGUUGAAAGUUGAAGCACUGAAAGCUACCAACUGAGUGGUGACAUGCAAUAAAAUUCUUGGCUUGUACUGGACAAAUAUAUUUAUAUGCAUUUGAAUAUUGAGGGAAAUUUAGUCCGAAGAGUCCUUACCUUUCAGAAAGGAUUUCAAG